UCUGUUUUCCAGUCACAUCCAUUCACAAAUGUAGGGACAUGCUCGAAGCCACUUUACGGCGCAAAUGUUGCUGUUCUUUUGUAUGGACAAGCGCGCACCUUGAAUCGCACGCAUUGUAGCAUAUCUGAACACAUCCUCGCCCCACUCCUUAACGCCAGUCACAAGGUUCACGUCUUCGUAGUCGGCGAGUUGGACGGCGAUAGCUGGCAAUACGAAGCUUACCUGGAUCAAAUAUCGAAACGAGGGAUCAGAUAUCACAUCGAGAUGCAAGAAGUGCAUCUGGGCGCAACACAGUGCGCGAGAGCCCUGGAUGAAAAGUAUGAAAAACGCAUGCAACGAUUAGUCAAAGAAGGGAACUCGUAUGCCGCAG
rnacentral:lncRNA from 1 species